rnacentral:lncRNA from 1 species
AUGAACAAAUCCCAAGAACAAGUGUCAUUCAAGGAUGUAUGCAUAGACUUUACCCAGCAAGAGUGGUAUCUGCUGGAUCCUGCUCAGAAGAUGCUGUCCAGAGAUGUGAUUCUGGAAACUUACAGCAAUCUGGUCUCAGCCAGGUGUUGCAUUACUAAGCCAGACGUGAUCUUCAAGAUAGAGCAAGGGGCUCCGGAAUAUUAGAGGAAGGAUUUCCAAGCCAGUACCACCCAGAAAGGAACUGGAAAGUUGAUGACCUGUCAGAGAGCAGCCAGGAAAACCAAGACAAGUAUUUUUGGGAGCUUGUGUUCACCAAAAACAAAACAGUAAGCAUAGAAAGUGGUAAUAGAGUAAGAAAAACUUCCAAUUUGGGUACAAACCCUGUUUCUUCAAGAACAUUUCCUAAUAAAAUAUGUGACUUGUGUGAAAUGAGUUUGAAAGAUACUUUGCGUUUAAUUAUUGAUCAAAAGAACUGUUCCAGAAAGAAGCCUGAUGCAUUUAAUGUACGUGAGAAAUUACUCCUUGGUAUUAGGCUUGAGAAAAUUCCUAUUGGAGAGAAAUUGUAUAAAUAUGAUCAAAAGAGGGAUGUCAUUAAUCAUCACCAGGCUCUCACUCAGAUAAUUUUUGACCAACCUUUUGAGUAUAAUAAAAAUGGACAAGGCUUCUAUGAGGAGGCAGCCUUUUUUUUUUUUUUUUUUUUUUUACAAAUAAGAGUUAAUCUUGGAUAGCAGAGACACUUUAAAUAUAAUGAAUGUGGAAGAACUUUCACUGUUGAAAGCUCAAAGAACUCAUUUGGAAAAGGAGCCAUAUGGAGGCAGUAUUUGUGAGAAGUCCUUCUGUAUUGAUUUUAGAUUUGGACAUCAGAGGGAGAAUCUUUGUGAAUGCAAUGAAUAUGGGAAAUCUUCUGUGACAGUUCAACUUUCAUGAUCUGUCAGGGAGCUUACACAAGAAAGAUUCCCCAUGAAUAUAAAUUGAGUGACAAAACUUGGGAAAACUCAACUCUCUUUAAACAUCAGAUAGUACACAUGGGGGGAAGCCCUCUGACCACAAUGAAAAUGGGAAUAAUUUCAGCAAGAAGUUACAUCUCACUCAGCUUUGGAAAGCUCACUGAGUGAGGAUAAAUAAACCUACGAAUGUGGUGAAUGUGGGAAAACCUUGUGGGAGAAGUCAAACUUCACUCAGCUUCAGAGAACACACACAGGAGAGAAACCCUAUGAAUGUACUGAAUGGGGAAAAGCCUUUUGCCAGAAACCACACCUUACCAACCAUCAGCAAACACACACAGGAGAAAAGCCCUAUGACUGUAAGCAAUGUGGAAAAACGUUCUGUGCGAAGUCAAAGCUCACUGAACAUCAGAGAACUCACGCAGGGCAGAAGCCCUAUGAAUGCAAAGCACAUGGGAAAUCCUUCUGCCCCAGGUCAGCCUUCACUGUCCAUCAGGGAACACACACACGAGAGAAAUCCUUUGCAUGUCAUGAGUGUGGAAAAUUCUUCUGUGUGAAGUCAAAUCUCAUUGUCCAUCAAAGAACUCACAUGGGAGACAAACCCUAUAAAUGUAGUGAAUGUGGGAAAACCUUCUGUGAAAAAUCAGCUCUCACCAAACAUCAGAGAAUUCACACAAGGCCAAAAGGUCUUUCCACAUCCUGA